GUCUGCGUCUGCCUGGUCGUGCCCUGGGAAUGGCCAUGUCUUGUGCCCAGGAGCAGAGGAAGCCAGAAGGUACAGAGGUCAAGAAAGGUCAAUUCGUAUUCCUUAGCCACAUUCCCCCAAAACAGCUGCAUCAUGGAAGGAGAAAUCUCCCUAAGGACUGGAACCAGAGGAGAUAAACUUUGGAACUAACUCCUUUAUUACCUUAAUAGGCUCUAUUUACAGCUCCAGUCAGCCAGCACCAACAGUCACGCCACACAGGGAAAAUUAUCUGGAUUUGUUUAAAAAACACGAUUUGGUCUGCCAAUUAUUCUUUAGGAAGAAUGAAAUAAGAAUGUGUCUCGUGGUGCAUCCGGCUCUUCGACCACGGGGCUGACGUUUUACCUCGUGCAGUCGAUUCCCUCCUACAGUCAUUUCCUAAGAAGUUUCAUGGUAUUUUUUCCAUCCAACUCCAUUAUUUCGUAAGUUUCUGCUAAAGCUCUUCACUUCACUUUCAAACUGUGCUUUCUCCAAUUGCCAAGAUGCUUGCAGUUUGAACAUAGCCACCUCUGCAUUUUAUUUCAUCGUCUUAUAUUUGGUGCAUGUGUGCCUCCGUUCUCCUGGGAUGUUUUCGAAAGAUGUGUGGAGCCCGGCGGUGAAUCCAUUUCUCCCCAGCACCUUGGUUUCUUGUCUUCUGAUCCACCUACCACCACAGCAGAGGCAGAGUCAGACAUCUGGACAGAUGCUGGAUCUCCCUUUACCACUUAACGUUUGUUCCAGACCUGCCUUCAAGUUUUCAAACUUUCUUCUGUUCUCCCUAAGUUCGCUCGGUCCUAUUCCUUCCCGCUGCCGCCAACUGUAGUGCAGAGCUUUGGGGGGACCCAGAAGCCUGUAGAACAGGUGUUUACUUACCUACCUGAAUUCCAACCAGAAGAACCCAUAAAGAGUCAGUGGAAUGUGCAAAGUCUUCAGAUGUCAUGGACUUACAGUCAAACCAUAAAACCAUUAGCAAGGAAAGCACCAUUUAAAUACUUAUCUGGGAAACAAUCUACUUCUAUAUAUAUCCAAGAA